GACCCGUUAGCUCAGUCGGCAGAGCACCUGCCUUUUAAGCAGGGUGUCCGGAGUUCGAAUCUCCGACGGGUCACCA
rnacentral:tRNA from 6 species